rnacentral:rRNA from 1 species
GACGAACGCUGGCGGCGUGCUUAACACAUGCAAGUCGAACGGAAAGGCCUGCUUUCCCUUGUGGAUUGCGGGUACUCGAGUGGCGAACGGGUGAGUAACACGUGAGUGAUCUGCCCCCAACUUGGGUAUAAGCCUGGGAAACUGGGUCUAAUUCCCGAUAGGACUGCAGGGUGGUGCCUGUGGUGGAAAACGAUUUUCUAGUGGUUGGGGAUGAGCUCGCGGCCUAUCAGCUUGUUGGUAGGGUAAUGGCCUACCAAGGCGGCGACGGGUAGCCGGCCUGAGAGGGUGGACGGCCACAUUGGGACUGAGAUACGGCCCAGACUCCUACGGGAGGCAGCAGUGGGGAAUAUUGCACAAUGGGCGGAAGCCUGAUGCAGCGACGCCGCGUGGGGGAUGACGGCCUUCGGGUUGUAAACUCCUUUCGACCGCGAGGAAGCCACCUGGUUGGAAGGGUGGUGACGGUAGUGGUAGAAGAAGCACCGGCUAACUACGUG